rnacentral:rRNA from 1 species
AGCGGGGAGGAAGGGAGUAAAGUUAAUACCUUUGCUCAUUGACGUUACCCGCAGAAGAAGCACCGGCUAACUCCGUGCCAGCAGCCGCGGUAAUACGGAGGGUGCAAGCGUUAAUCGGAAUUACUGGGCGUAAAGCGCACGCAGGCGGUUUGUUAAGUCAGAUGUGAAAUCCCCGGGCUCAACCUGGGAACUGCAUCUGAUACUGGCAAGCUUGAGUCUCGUAGAGGGGGGUAGAAUUCCAGGUGUAGCGGUGAAAUGCGUAGAGAUCUGGAGGAAUACCGGU